AUGUAGAUGCCUACAACUUAGCAUUAAUGCAUCAAAUCUAAUUAGAACUCUGCAGCUAAGUGCACUCGGGCUAGAGUAGUACUGGGAUGGGUUACCUCCUAGGAAGUCCUAGUAUUUUACAUG
rnacentral:rRNA from 1 species